rnacentral:rRNA from 28 species
UUAAGUUAUUAAGGGCGCACGGUGGAUGCCUUGGCACUAGAAGCCGAUGAAGGACGUUACUAACGACGAUAUGCUUUGGGGAGCUGUAAGUAAGCUUUGAUCCAGAGAUUUCCGAAUGGGGAAACCCAGCAUGAGUUAUGUCAUGUUAUCGAUAUGUGAAUACAUAGCAUAUCAGAAGGCACACCCGGAGAACUGAAACAUCUUAGUACCCGGAGGAAGAGAAAGAAAAUUCGAUUCCCUUAGUAGCGGCGAGCGAAACGGGAAGAGCCCAAACCAACAAGCUUGCUUGUUGGGGUUGUAGGACACUCUAUACGGAGUUACAAAGGACGACAUUAGACGAAUCAUCUGGAAAGAUGAAUCAAAGAAGGUAAUAAUCCUGUAGUCGAAAAUGUUGUCUCUCUUGAGUGGAUCCUGAGUACGACGGAGCACGUGAAAUUCCGUCGGAAUCUGGGAGGACCAUCUCCUAAGGCUAAAUACUCUCUAGUGACCGAUAGUGAACCAGUACCGUGAGGGAAAGGUGAAAAGCACCCCGGAAGGAGAGUGAAAUAGAACCUGAAACCGUGUGCUUACAAGUAGUCAGAGCCCGUUAAUGGGUGAUGGCGUGCCUUUUGUAGAAUGAACCGGCGAGUUACGAUUUGAUGCAAGGUUAAGCAGUAAAUGUGGAGCCGUAGCGAAAGCGAGUCUGAAUAGGGCGUUUAGUAUUUGGUCGUAGACCCGAAACCAGGUGAUCUACCCUUGGUCAGGUUGAAGUUCAGGUAACACUGAAUGGAGGACCGAACCGACUUACGUUGAAAAGUGAGCGGAUGAACUGAGGGUAGCGGAGAAAUUCCAAUCGAACCUGGAGAUAGCUGGUUCUCUCCGAAAUAGCUUUAGGGCUAGCCUCAAGUGAUGAUUAUUGGAGGUAGAGCACUGUUUGGACGAGGGGCCCCUCUCGGGUUACCGAAUUCAGACAAACUCCGAAUGCCAAUUAAUUUAACUUGGGAGUCAGAACAUGGGUGAUAAGGUCCGUGUUCGAAAGGGAAACAGCCCAGACCACCAGCUAAGGUCCCAAAAUAUAUGUUAAGUGGAAAAGGAUGUGGCGUUGCCCAGACAACUAGGAUGUUGGCUUAGAAGCAGCCAUCAUUUAAAGAGUGCGUAAUAGCUCACUAGUCGAGUGACACUGCGCCGAAAAUGUACCGGGGCUAAACAUAUUACCGAAGCUGUGGAUUGUCCUUUGGACAAUGGUAGGAGAGCGUUCUAAGGGCGUUGAAGCAUGAUCGUAAGGACAUGUGGAGCGCUUAGAAGUGAGAAUGCCGGUGUGAGUAGCGAAAGACGGGUGAGAAUCCCGUCCACCGAUUGACUAAGGUUUCCAGAGGAAGGCUCGUCCGCUCUGGGUUAGUCGGGUCCUAAGCUGAGGCCGACAGGCGUAGGCGAUGGAUAACAGGUUGAUAUUCCUGUACCACCUAUAAUCGUUUUAAUCGAUGGGGGGACGCAGUAGGAUAGGCGAAGCGUGCGAUUGGAUUGCACGUCUAAGCAGUAAGGCUGAGUAUUAGGCAAAUCCGGUACUCGUUAAGGCUGAGCUGUGAUGGGGAGAAGACAUUGAGUCUUCGAGUCGUUGAUUUCACACUGCCGAGAAAAGCCUCUAGAUAGAAAAUAGGUGCCCGUACCGCAAACCGACACAGGUAGUCAAGAUGAGAAUUCUAAGGUGAGCGAGCGAACUCUCGUUAAGGAACUCGGCAAAAUGACCCCGUAACUUCGGGAGAAGGGGUGCUCUUUAGGGUUAACGCCCAGAAGAGCCGCAGUGAAUAGGCCCAAGCGACUGUUUAUCAAAAACACAGGUCUCUGCUAAACCGUAAGGUGAUGUAUAGGGGCUGACGCCUGCCCGGUGCUGGAAGGUUAAGAGGAGUGGUUAGCUUCUGCGAAGCUACGAAUCGAAGCCCCAGUAAACGGCGGCCGUAACUAUAACGGUCCUAAGGUAGCGAAAUUCCUUGUCGGGUAAGUUCCGACCCGCACGAAAGGCGUAACGAUUUGGGCACUGUCUCAACGAGAGACUCGGUGAAAUCAUAGUACCUGUGAAGAUGCAGGUUACCCGCGACAGGACGGAAAGACCCCGUGGAGCUUUACUGUAGCCUGAUAUUGAAAUUCGGCACAGCUUGUACAGGAUAGGUAGGAGCCUUUGAAACGUGAGCGCUAGCUUACGUGGAGGCGCUGGUGGGAUACUACCCUAGCUGUGUUGGCUUUCUAACCCGCACCACUUAUCGUGGUGGGAGACAGUGUCAGGCGGGCAGUUUGACUGGGGCGGUCGCCUCCUAAAAGGUAACGGAGGCGCUCAAAGGUUCCCUCAGAAUGGUUGGAAAUCAUUCAUAGAGUGUAAAGGCAUAAGGGAGCUUGACUGCGAGACCUACAAGUCGAGCAGGGUCGAAAGACGGACUUAGUGAUCCGGUGGUUCCGCAUGGAAGGGCCAUCGCUCAACGGAUAAAAGCUACCCCGGGGAUAACAGGCUUAUCUCCCCCAAGAGUUCACAUCGACGGGGAGGUUUGGCACCUCGAUGUCGGCUCAUCGCAUCCUGGGGCUGUAGUCGGUCCCAAGGGUUGGGCUGUUCGCCCAUUAAAGCGGUACGCGAGCUGGGUUCAGAACGUCGUGAGACAGUUCGGUCCCUAUCCGUCGUGGGCGUAGGAAAUUUGAGAGGAGCUGUCCUUAGUACGAGAGGACCGGGAUGGACAUACCUCUGGUGUACCAGUUGUCGUGCCAACGGCAUAGCUGGGUAGCUAUGUGUGGACGGGAUAAGUGCUGAAAGCAUCUAAGCAUGAAGCCCCCCUCAAGAUGAGAUUUCCCAACUUCGGUUAUAAGAUCCCUCAAAGAUGAUGAGGUUAAUAGGUUCGAGGUGGAAGCAUGGUGACAUGUGGAGCUGACGAAUACUAAUCGAUCGAAGACUUAAUCAA